CCUACGGGAGGCAGCAGUAGGGAAUCUUCCACAAUGGGCGAAAGCCUGAUGGAGCAACGCCGCGUGGGUGAAGAAGGUCCUCGGAUCGUAAAACCCUGUUUUUAGAGAAGAAAGGGCGUGAGAGUAACUGUUCACGUUUCGACGUUAUCUAACCAGAAAGCCACGGCUAACUACGUGCCAGCAGCUGCGGGAAUACGUAGGUGGCAUGCGUUAUCCGGAUUUAUUGGGGGUAAAGGGAACGCAGGUGGUCUUUUAAGUCUGAUGGGAAAGCCUUCGGCUUAACCGGAGUAGUGCAUUGGAAACUGGGAGAGUUGAGUGCAGGAGAGGAGAGUGGAACUCGAGGUGUAGCGGUGAAAUGCGUAGAUAUAUGGAAGAACACCAGUGGCGAAAGCAGCUCUCUGGUCUGUAACUGACGCUGAGGUUCGAAAGCGUGGGUAGCAAACAGGAUUAGAUACCCUGGUAGUC
rnacentral:rRNA from 1 species